GAGCACUGGGACAUGGAUUCAAAGUCAGCAUGAGGUGGUGGGUGAGGUCACAGUGACGGCUGCUGACUCAGAACACACUGCACCUGCUUCCUUGUCUGGUUUCUAUUGCUCCUAAGGAAAUGCCCAUCAAUUGGAUGUGCGAGUCACCAGUCCCUCCACCUCGUGCCAGUCAGGCAAGUGCUGCCCUAUCCCCAGUGUUGUCCUGUCUCCAUUUUUCUUGCCCUGUAUUUGCUGUCAUUCCUUAGCCCUGGCCUUUUUGUGCAGUGGAAAACUGUGGGGUGGGGCUGCUGGCUUCGAUGGGACUUCACUUAAAUUGCCUGGAUGUAGUGGCAUAGAGGGGCCCUCAGAGGACAAGCUAAGCCAGCCAUGAUCCCUCUCAUUCCCCUCUGUGGCCCCUUCAUGUGAGGAGGCCGCAGUGGAAUGGGAGGGACCUUGGCUGACUUAGCUUGCUCUCUGUAAAAUGGGAUAAUAAUACUCAACACUCAGCGAUGGCGUGAUGAUCACACAGACUAAUGAUACACUUUGAAGAGAGAGCUGCAGGUGGAGGCUGUGGGUCUGAGCAGGGCAGAGUGGAGUUCCGGAAGCUGCUUCAGAGACCAGCCUGGACUCCUGCCCUGCUUUUCUUUCCC
rnacentral:lncRNA from 1 species